CGCGGGAUAGAGCAGCUAGGUAGCUCGUCGGGCUCAUAACCCGAAGGUCAAUGGUUCAAAUCCAUUUCCCGCAACCA
rnacentral:tRNA from 1 species